ACGCAUUAUGGCUAGGCCAUAGACCUACUAACUAAACUCUCUGGAUAGAGCCCUCUGUCAGAUGGCGGGAUAUAAUUAGAAGUACAAAUCCAGUUCAGCCCACUAAAAUCAACAGGUCUUGAUUUACAUGAAGACCCUGGUGAAGAGACCAAACUACGCUCUCCCAGUCUAUCAUUCUAGUGGCACUGGAAAUUGGAUUUGGCUUGGGAAACUUCCAGUCUUAAAUGAUUAAGCAUCCAGAUACAAGGUUAUGGGAUUGCCUCAGUCAGGAGGACCUGCUUAACUCUGCAAUUCCAAGGGUUUCUAGAGGCGCUCCAAAGCCUUUGCCGGAAGGUGGCGACAUCCGCCCUUCUUGCCUAGAGCUGUCCCAGGUGCUGAA
rnacentral:lncRNA from 1 species